GUUUGAUCAUGGCUCAGAAUAAACGCUGGCGGCGUGCUUAACACAUGCAAGUCGAACGAGAAAGUCCUUUCGGGGAUGAGUAAAGUGGCAGACGGGUGAGUAACGCGUGAGAAUCUACCCUAAAGUGGAGAAUACCUUCGAGAAAUCGAAGUUAAUACUGCAUACGUCCCUUCGGGGAGAAAGAUGGCUUAUUUUAGCUGUCGCUUAAGGAUGAGCUUGCGUGCUAUUAGCUAGUUGGUAGGGUAAUGGCCUACCAAGGCGAUGAUGGCUAGUCGGCCUGAGAGGGUGUACGACCACACUGGAACUUAGACACGGUCCAGACUCCUACGGGAGGCAGCAGUGAGGAAUAUUGCGCAAUGGGCGAAAGCCUGACGCAGCGACGCCGCGUGAAGGAUGAAGGUCUUCGGAUUGUAAACUUCUGUUAAGUGGGAAAAAAGACUCGUCUCUAAUACAGACGAGGGAUGAUUGUACCAUUAAAGAAAGCACCGGCUAACUUCGUGCCAGCAGCCGCGGUAAUACGAAGGGUGCUAGCGUUAUUCGGAAUUAUUGGGCGUAAAGGGCGCGUAGGUGGCAUGUUAAGUUUGCUGUUAAAUCUUCCAGCCUAACUGGAAAACUGCAGCAAAAACUGGCAAGCUAGAGUGUAAGAGAGAGAAGUGGAAUUCUCGGAGUAGCGGUAAAAUGCGUAGAUCUCGAGAGGAACACCGAUGGCGAAGGCAGCUUCUUGGCUUACUACUGACACUGAGGCGCGAAAGCGUGGGGAGCAAACAGGAUUAGAUACCCUGGUAGUCCACGCUGUAAACGAUGAUCACUAGAUGUUAGUUCUGCUUAGCAGAAUUAGUGUCGCAGCUAACGCGUUAAGUGAUCCGCCUGGGAAGUACGGUCGCAAGGCUAAAACUCAAAGGAAUUGACGGGGGUCCGCACAAGCGGUGGAACAUGUGGUUUAAUUCGAUACUACGCGAGAAACCUUACCUAGGCUUGACAUGCUUUUGACAUCCGUGGAAACACGGCUUUCCAAGUUCGCUUGGACAAUUGCACAGGUGCUGCAUGGCUGUCGUCAGCUCGUGUCGUGAGAUGUUUGGUUAAGUCCUCUAACGAGCGCAACUCUUGCCGUUAGUUGCUAUCCUUCGGGAGCACUCUAGCGGGACUGCCUGGGAAACCAGGAGGAAGGUGGGAAUGACGUCAAGUCCUCAUGGCCCUUAUGUCUAGGGCUACACACGUGUUACAAUGGCUGGUACAGAGGGUCGCAAGCUCGCAAGAGUAAGCUAAUCCCAGAAAGCCAGUCUAAGUUCAGAUUGGAGUCUGCAACUCGACUCCAUGAAGUUGAAAUCGCUAGUAAUCGCGCAUCAUCACGGCGCGGUGAAUACGUUCUCGGACCUUGUACACACUGCCCGCCACACCAUGAGAGCUGAUUGUACCCAAAGGCGCUUUAGCUAACCAGCAAUGGAGGCGAGCGAUAAAGGUAUGGUUAGUGAUUGGGGUGAAGUCGUAACAAGGUAACCGUAG
rnacentral:rRNA from 1 species